rnacentral:rRNA from 1 species
AGAGUUUGAUCCUGGCUCAGAUUGAACGCUGGCGGCAGGCCUAACACAUGCGAGUCGAGCGGUAGAGAGAAGCUUGCUUCUCUUGAGAGCGGCGGACGGGUGAGUAAUGCCUAGGAAUCUGCCUGGUAGUGGGGGAUAACGUUCGGAAACGGACGCUAAUACCGCAUACGUCCUACGGGAGAAAGCAGGGGACCUUCGGGCCUUGCGCUAUCAGAUGAGCCUAGGUCGGAUUAGCUAGUUGGUGAGGUAAUGGCUCACCAAGGCGACGAUCCGUAACUGGUCUGAGAGGAUGAUCAGUCACACUGGAACUGAGACACGGUCCAGACUCCUACGGGAGGCAGCAGUGGGGAAUAUUGGACAAUGGGCGAAAGCCUGAUCCAGCCAUGCCGCGUGUGUGAAGAAGGUCUUCGGAUUGUAAAGCACUUUAAGUUGGGAGGAAGGGUUGUAGAUUAAUACUCUGCAAUUUUGACGUUACCGACAGAAUAAGCACCGGCUAACUCUGUGCCAGCAGCCGCGGUAAUACAGAGGGUGCAAGCGUUAAUCGGAAUUACUGGGCGUAAAGCGCGCGUAGGUGGUUUGUUAAGUUGGAUGUGAAAUCCCCGGGCUCAACCUGGGAACUACAUUCAAAACUGACUGACUAGAGUAUGGUAGAGGGUGGUGGAAUUUCCUGUGUAGCGGUGAAAUGCGUAGAUAUAGGAAGGAACACCAGUGGCGAAGGCGACCACCUGGACUAAUACUGACACUGAGGUGCGAAAGCGUGGGGAGCAAACAGGAUUAGAUACCCUGUGAGUCC